CCAAGCUUUUACAGAAAUGACCACCUAUAUAUAUGAUAACCACCCUUUACCCAGGGCUCCACCCCUGAUACUCACUCAAGACCUCCCCUGCCCUGGAUUUACACUUCCCUCACUCACACAUGCCCCUUUUCCUGGCUAGCCUUUGGCCUGCCUUCUCAGGCUCUUACACACAUACAUUAGUCACCCUCCUGUUUCCUACCUUUUAGAUGCAGGAGGAUG